rnacentral:rRNA from 1 species
UACGAAGGGGGCUAGCGUUGCUCGGAAUCACUGGGCGUAAAGGGUGCGUAGGCGGGGCUUUAAGUUAGAGGUGAAAUCCUGGAGCUCAACUCCAGAACUGCCUUUGAUACUGAAGAUCUUGAGUUCGGGAGAGGUGAGUGGAACUGCGAGUGUAGAGGUGAAAUUCGUAGAUAUUCGCAAGAACACCAGUGGCGAAGGCGGCUCACUGGCCCGAUACUGACGCUGAGGCACGAAAGCGUGGGGAGCAAACAGG